UCCACUUCUGCCUCGUCCUCCCCCUACACUUCUCUCCUCCUGAAGCCCCAACACAUGGUUGUCGUCGGCGCUGGCGCUCGUGUCGUUCUUCCCCAGCGCAUCCCGCAGCCUCCUGCAGGACGAUGCCUCACCAUCUUCCAUCAGCCAGCGCUGUGGGCCGUGGUUCUGGACCGGUCACAGGUCGCUGCCGAGGAGCAGAGGAGGACCGCGGGGGGGGGGGGGGAGAAGGAGCAGAGGAGGACGGCACUGGGGGGAAGAAGCAGCGAGACCAGAGGCCCAGACGGCGCUCGUGUCAUGUGUCGGACGCUGCUCGCCGGCCCUCGUCGUGGUCCUCAAUCUAGGUUGCCCAUCUUCAUCUCGCCAUCUUCUUCCUUCCAAUUUUACCUUAGUUUUUCAGAAUGACUAAUUCACAUCUAAAUGAUAUUUAAGGAUGUCACAUCUAAGUGUUUGUACCGUCCGAUCUGUCUCUGCUUUAUUAUUCAUGCACGAGGUGAUGCGCUCGCAUCGUCGCAUUGUCUCGUCUGUCGGGCCGAGUGGGAUACAUCGUAGCGGCCUCCGAUUUUUUGUUUGGGCCGGCCUUCGAUUUUUGUUUGUUUAUUGGGCUUGCUUUAGAAUCUGAACAGUCUAACCUGAUCUGGAGUCCCGUCCUCACUCUCCUCGCCUCUUUUCCCCUCCUCAUCCCUUGUUCUGCCACCACUGUAUUCCUUCUGACUCGAAUCCAAGGGAGAGACGACCUGAUCUGGUGGGCUUGUGGCGACAGAGAUGGCAGGGGAAUCCAGCGGACUGAUGAAUAGUAACUAGCAAUCCAACCCGGUUAUGUUCAUGCCCAUGGCUGUAGAUUUGUUUUUCUGUGUGAGUCUGAUUGUAGCAGCGAGCACCCCCAGUUUUGUAACUUGAGUCUGUACAUCUAGGGACUUCCAGUUUUUUUGUGUGUGUGAAUCUGAAUGUAGCAGCGAGCACCCCAGUUUUGUAAUCUGAAUGUAGCAGCUAGCACCCCAUUUUGUAAUCUUGAGUUUGUAGCACAUACUACAUAUAGACAGCAGACAGAGUUGCCUGCCAUUUUUGUCUGAAAUUUAAGAGGCAUAAUGCGAGUGGAUAAACAUUUUCAGUGGCAUACAUUGCAAUCCUUCUUUUUUCAGACAGGAAUGUCUGAAUUUUUGUGUGUGUCUGUUUGUAGGGAGCAUGUGUAGUCUUCUUCUGAAUACUUCAAACUUCUCAGACUAAGCGAGGUCUUUUUGAUUUCUUAAAAGUUGUGGCAUAUGGCACAACUCCAGAAAUUGAAAGUAUAGUAGUAGCAGGCCCGAAUGUAUAGCUUUUGUUUUUCAUAUUUUUAUAGAUUUUCUGUUAAAAUCUUUUCUUGUUUGAAGAUAUGUGAUUUCAAAAUCUAACAAGAGUAUUUUCUGAUC